rnacentral:rRNA from 1 species
UACGGAGGGUGCAAGCGUUAUCCGGAUUUACUGGGUUUAAAGGGUGUGUAGGCGGGCUUUUAAGUCAGUGGUGAAAUCUCCGGGCUCAACCCGGAAACUGCCAUUGAUACUAUUAGUCUUGAAUUUUGUUGAGGUAGGCGGAAUAAGUCAUGUAGCGGUGAAAUGCUUAGAUAUGACUUAGAACACCAAUUGCGAAGGCAGCUUGCUAAACAAACAUUGACGCUGAGGCACGAAAGCGUGGGGAUCAAACAGGAUUAGACUACCGUAG